AACGAACGCUGGCGGCGUGCCUACACAUGCAAGUCGAGCGAAGUGAGUACUACGGUACGAACUUAGCGGCGGACGGGUGAGUAACGCGUGACAAUCUACCCUGUAGACUGGGAUAACACCUCGAAAGGGGUGCUAAUACCGGAUAAUGUCGAGAAGCGGCAUCGCUUUUCGAAGAAAGGAGAGAAUCCGCUAUAGGAGGAGUCCGCGUCCCAUUAGCUAGUUGGUGAGGGUAACGGCCCACCAAGGCGACGAUGGGUAGCCGGCCUGAGAGGGUGAACGGCCACACUGGAACUGAGACACGGUCCAGCCUCCUACGGGAGGCAGCAGUGGGGAAUAUUGUGCAAUGGGGGAAACCCUGACACAGCAACGCCGCGUGAGCGAAGAAGGCCUUCGGGUUGUAAAGCUCAAUAGUAUGGGAAGAUAAUGGCGGUACCAUACGAAAGCCCUGGCUAACUACGUGCCAGCCGCCGCCGUAAUAC
rnacentral:rRNA from 1 species